rnacentral:rRNA from 1 species
GACGAACGCUGGCGGCGUGCUUAACACAUGCAAGUCGGGCGGUAAGGCCCUUUCGGGGGUACACGAGCGGCGAACGGGUGAGUAACACGUGGGUGACCUGCCCUCAGCUCUGGGAUAAGCCCGGGAAACUGGGUCUAAUACUGGAUAUGACUCCAUGACGCAUGUUGUGGGGUGGAAAGCCUUGUGCGGCUGGGGAUGGGCCCGCGGCCUAUCAGCUUGUUGGUGGGGUGANGGCCUACCAAGGCGACGACGGGUAGCCGGCCUGAGGGGGCGACCGGCCACACUGGGACUGAGACACGGCCCAGACUCCUACGGGAGGCAGCAGUGGGGAAUCUUGCGCAAUGGGCGAAAGCCUGACGCAGCGACGCCGCGUGAGGGAU